GGGGAUGUAGCUCAUAUGGUAGAGCGCUCGCUUUGCAUGCAAGAGGUACGGGGAUGGAUACUUUGCAUCUCUA
rnacentral:tRNA from 1 species